rnacentral:rRNA from 1 species
GCGGAGGACAUUACAGAGUUAUCCAACUCCCAAACCCAUGUGAACUUAUCUCUUUGUUGCCUCGGCGCAAGCUACCCGGGACCUCGCGCCCCGGGGGGCCCGCCGGCGGACAAACCAAACUCUGUUAUCUUCGUUGAUUAUCUGAGUGUCUUAUUUAAUAAGUCAAAACUUUCAACAACGGAUCUCUUGGUUCUGGCAUCGAUGAAGAACGCAGCGAAAUGCGAUAAGUAAUGUGAAUUGCAGAAUUCAGUGAAUCAUCGAAUCUUUGAACGCACAUUGCGCCCAUUAGUAUUCUAGUGGGCAUGCCUGUUCGAGCGUCAUUUCAACCCCUAAGCACAGCUUAUUGUUGGGACUCUACGGCUUCGUAGUUCCCCAAAGACAUUGGCGGAGUGGCAGCAGUCCUCUGAGCGUAGUAAUUCUUUAUCUCGCUUUUGUUAGGCGCUGCCCCCCCGGCCGUAAAACCCCCAAUUUUUUCUGGUUGACCUCGGAUCAGGUAGGAAUACCCGCUGAACUUAAGCAUAUCAAAGUGGGGAG